GUUUUCAAGGCGUCCCUAAGGCGUUGCCUAGGCGACGCUUAGGCGUCAGGGCGCCCUGCGAGGGCAAGGCGUCCACCUCGCCUUAGGUGGGUGUCUAAGGCGUCCGCCUUAAGCUAUAAGGCGUCCGAGGCGUCUGCCUAGGCGUCCGAGGCGUUGCCUUAGUCCAUUUUGGACGCCUUAGCUUGCCAGGCAGGCAGGGGAGCUGUUUUAGGCGGGAAACUGGAAUCAUGUUGGCGCCAACAGGUAAGAGGGGAGAAAGAGAGAGAGAGAAACAGCCCCCAAUCCACACACUCCUCCCCCUCCUUCUCUUCAGUGGCUCCUCUCCAGCAGAUCUGGUUCCUCCUCCUCUCCAGCAGCUCCUCCCCCUCCUCUCCAACGGUUCCUCCUCUCCAGCAGCUCCUCCUCUUCCUCCUGUCCAGCAGCUCCUCCUCCUCUUCCUCCUGUCCAGCAGCUCCUCCUCAUCCUCCUGUCCAGCAGCUCCUCCUCUGCAGUACAGCAACAACAAGCAAGAGCAACAGUAAGGUAGUAGAAGUGUAGCACCAUGGAUGGAAAUGCAACAGCUGAUGGGGGUGAGCCCACCUACGAUCCAAUGAAAGAUCCAACAAGGAAGCCACAACGGUCAAAUGAUCCGGGAUGGAACUAUGGAUAUUGGUCUGAGCCUCCAAAUCGGGAUCUUGUUGUGUGCGCUCUUUGUGGCAAGAUAACUUCUGGAGGGAUCAAGAGGCAUAAAGAGCAUCUUGCGGGCGUCGGGGGAGAUGCAAUUGGUUGUCCUAAGGCCACCACACAAUUGAGGAGAGAAAUGGGAACAUAUUUGGAGCAAAAUAGGAGGAUCAAGGGAGUAGUAGAUGUAGAUGAUGUUCAGGAGGUUGUGGAGGUGAGUUCAGUUGGAGCAAACAUCGCCUCUAAAAGGCCAAGCUCAGGGACAGCAGCCAAACAGAAUAAGAAAGCGUUUAUCACCAACAUGCAAGGUAAAAAGAAGUCUGUUUCUGUUGUGUCUGCCGCCAAUAGUUCCAAGCCAAUUGUUGCCAUGCUACGAAGAACACCCGAGGAUCUUGUAGAUGAAAGACGCUCUGGGUGUUCUCAAAGCACCAUGGAGUCCAGCACAAAGACUCCAGAAGAGAGGCAGUAUGUCAAUAUGCAGUGGGCAUUGUUCUUUUACGAGUGUGGCAUUCCAUUCAACGCUGCAAGUAGUAGGCAGUUUGAGGUUGCAAUUGAAGCCUCUUGUCAAUAUGGGUCAGGUUACAAGCCUCCUAGUGCACAUGAGCUGAGAGAGAAAUUGCUUAAUGAUUGUGUGAAGGAAACAGGACUUUUGAGGAGGCAACACGAGGCAGCAUGGAAAAAAUAUGGAUGCACACUCAUGUCGGAUGGCUGGUCGGAUAAAAGAGGACGCCAUUUGAUUAACUUCCUUGUUAAUAGUCCAGAGGGCACUUUCUUCUUGGAGUCGGUUGAUGCCUCAAGUGUAUGUCAUGAUGGUGAUAUGAUAGCUGAUUUGCUUGAGAAGAGAAUUCUGGAUGUUGGAAAAGAGAAUGUGGUACAAGUUAUCACCGAUAAUGGUGCUAAUUACAAGAAAGCUGGCCACCUUCUAAUGGAGAGGAUGCCUACUCUAUAUUGGAGCCCAUGUGCAUGUCAUUGCUUGGACCUAAUGUUGGAAGAUAUAGGAAAGUUGAAGGCAUUUAAGAAGCCUAUUGCAGGGGCUAGACGUGUCACAACUUUCAUCUAUAGACAUGGAAGACUUCUUAGUCUAAUGAGGAAGGCCACGGGUGGGGAUCUUGUGAGACCAGCAGCCACUCGUUUUGCCACAGCCAUCCUCACACUUAGGAGUUUGGUCAAUGACGAUCAAGAGCCAACUAAUGUUGACCAAGAUGGUGAAGACAACACCAAUGCCAAUGAGUUUGAUGAUGAUGACUUUUGAUUGAGACUUUGAGAGUGGAGAGACAUGAGAGAGCUGAGCUGGCCACCUUUAUCCCUUUUGCUAUGCUGGAAUUAUCUAUUAUUCUGUUUGUCUUAUGUGGAAUUAUCUAUUAUUCUGUUUGUCUUAUGUGGACCAUUGCAGAUUGCAGUUGCACUCAUACUUGCUAUCUUUCUUUCCACUUUUGUUUGCUGCCUCACUUUUAUUUCUAUUUUUUGUGGAAUGUGCACUGGUAAGUGAUACAUUAUUCUAACAUAUUUGUUCAUGACUUCAUGUUGAUGCAGAAUUCUGUUGGGGAGAAAAGCAAGUGCAAAGAGGAUGGGGGCUCUACAACAAUCAGUUGCAAGGCCAUGGUUCUUCCAUCCCACCCUUAUCUUCUCAAGGAAACACACAUCAGUAUUUUUCAUGUGGUGGUGCAUACCAGAGUGGUAGUACAACAAAAAAGAUUGAUAUCCCGAAUGGAAGAAAUCAUUAUCUUUCGAAAGAUUCAAGGACGUUCCAGGAGUGACCAGUACCAUUGAAGACUUUGCUGAGCGAGGCAAGCAACCUACUUUGAUCAUGUUGAACCCAUAUAUGCAUUACACUUAGAAUUAUUUUUCAUCCAUAAAGUAUUGUUUACUAGUAUUGCUAUUAAGUAAAUUAGCUAGGGUUUAGCUAUGCCCUAUGUGCUUGAUAUUGACACCCUUUGACAUUCUUAUGCUAACUAAAUUAGCUAGGGUUUAGCUAUGCUUUAUGUGCUUGAUAUUUGACACCCUCCUUUGAUGAUACCCCUCCUUCCUAACCAUGUAGUGGUCACAAAUAAAUGUGGGUCAUAUGUGCAAGUUUAAUAGUAAUGCUUAGCCAUGCUAGUCACAUAAAUCAUAGGACUUGGGAAGAAUCUUUGUUACUCAUAAAUGUUUUACAAAAACCCAAGGGUGUCACUAAUGCCCAUGGUAUGAUUCUGAAAAUAAGGUUAUAUAAAAUGGAGAUUUAGUUAGGUGAUUGUGAUCUUUGACGAGAUAGUCAGUUCGGUGGAUUAUAAAAAUUUAUGUAUAGUAAAUGAGCAUGGUGGUUAUUGUAUUGGCGGAUAAAUGGAACUUCAAUUAACUUGAAGCAAUUUGGAUUUAGUAAGGCGAUUACGAUCUUGAACCAAAUUUCAUGGUGGAUUAGAAGUUUUUGAUGCAUUUAUUUAGUUCAUUGUGAUCUUGAGGAGAUAGUCAAAGAUGUCCGGUGGAUUAAUUAAUCUAGGACAAUUUGUAUUUAGUUAGGUGAUUGUGAUAUUGAACUGUAUUUCAUGAUAAAUUAUGAGAUUUUAGGUGGAUUUAGUUACGUGAUUUAAUCUUGAGAAGAUAGUCUAAAAUGAUCGGUUGAUUAUGAGAUUUUAGGUAUGGUAGAUGAGCAUGGUGAUUAUUAUAUUGGUGGAUAAAUAGAUCUUUAAUUUUGUUUGGAACAUUUUGAAUUUAGUUAGGUGAUUGUGAUCUUAAACCAAAUUUCACGAUGAAUUAUGAGGUUUUGGUUGGGUUUAGUUAGGUGAUUGUGAUCUUGACGAGCUAAUAAAAGAUGUUUGGUGGAUUAUGUGAAUUUAGGUCUAGUAGGUGAGCAUGGUGGUUAUUAUAUCGGUGAAUAGGUAAAUUUUUAAUAAACUUGAGAAAAUUUGGAUUUAGUUAGGCGAUUGUGAUCUUUGAACUAAAUUUCAUGGUGGAUUACGAUCUUUUAGAUGGAUUUAGUCAGUUGAUUGUGAUCUGGAGGAGAUACUCAAAGAUAUUCGAUGGAUUAAAUAUCCUUGAAUAAUUUGAAUUUCGUUAGGCUAUUGUGAUAUUGAACUGUAUUUCACGAUGAUUUAUGUGAUUUUAGGUGGAUUUAAUUAUGUUAUUAUGAUCUUGAGAAGAUGGCAAAGAUGUUAGUGGAUUUUAAGAUUUUAGGUCUAGUAUGUGAGCAUGGGGACUAUUAUAUUGGUGGAUAGACAGACCUCUAAUUUAGUUUGAAACAAUUUGAAUUUUGAAUUUAGUUAGAUGAUUGUGAUAUUUUAACCAAAUUCAUGGUGGAUUUUGAUGUUUGGGUUGGAUUUAGUUAAGUGAUUGUGAUCUUGACGAGAUAGUCAAAGAUGUUCGAUGGAUUAUGUCAGAAUUUAUGUCUAGUAAGUGAGCACACUAGUUAUUGUAUUUGGUGGAUAAAUGGAUUUUUAGUUAACUUGGAGUAAUUUGGAUUUAGUUAGGCGAUUGUGAUCUUGAACCAAAUUUCAUGGUGAAUUACGAGAUUUUAAAUGAAUUUAAUUAGUUGAUUGAAAUCUUGAGAAGAUAGUCCAAGAUGUUCGGUGGAUUAAUUAAUAUUUUUUUGAACACAGUACAAGCGCAAGCGCUAUAUAAACGUGCAUACACUCACCCCUAUGAACGCACACACGCACACCCUACCGCUAUGAGCACCUCCGAGAGACUAAGCCGGCAUAUCAUCUUGAGAUUUUACGAAGUCAUCGUAGGCGCCUUGUAGUCGAUGAGAACAAUUUGUAUGUAGUUCGGUGAUUGUGAUAUUGAACCAAAUUUCUCGGUGAUUUAUUUGAUUUUAGGUGGAUUUAGUUAGGUGAUUGAGUCUUUGAGAAGAAAGUCAAAAUGUAAAGUGGAUUAUGAGAUUUUAGGUAUGGUAAAUGAGCAAGGUGAUUAUUAUAUUAGUAGAUAAACAAAUAUUUAAAAUUUAGUUUGGAUCGAUUUGGAUUUAGGUAGGUGACUGUGAUCUUUUAACCUAAUUUUACAAUGGAUUAUGAGGUUUUGGUUGGAUUUAGUUAGGUGCUUGUGAUCUUGACAAGGUAGUCAAAGAUGUUCGGUGGAUUAAUAUGUCUAGUAAGCGAGCAUGAUGGUUAUUACAUUGGUGGAUAAAUGGAUCUUUAAUAAGCUUGAAGAUAUUUGAAUUUAGUUAGGCGAUUGUGAUCUUGAACCAAAUUUCAUGGUGGAUUACGAGAUUUUAGAUGGAUUUGAUUAGUUGAUUGCGAUUUUGAGGAAAUAGUAAAAGAUGUUCGGUGGAUGAAUUAAUCUUGAACAAUUUGGAUUUAGUUAGGUGAUUGUGAUAUUGAACCAAAUUUCUUGGUGGUUUAUGACAUUUUAGUUGAAUUUAGUUAGGUGAUUGUGUCUUCAGAGGAUAGUCAAAGAUGUUCGGUGAUUAUGAUAUUUUAGGUCUAGUCGAUGAGCAUGGUAAUUAUUAUAUUGGUGGAUAAACAGAUAUUUAAUAUAGCUUGGAACAAUUUGGAUUUAGUUAGGUGAUUGUGAUUUUAACCAAAUUUUAGGAUGGAUUAUGAGGUUUGAUUAGAAUUAGUUAGGUGAUUGGGAUCUUGACGAGCUAGUAAAAGAUGUUAGGUAGAUUAUGUGAAUUUAGGUCUAAUAGGUGAGCAUCUUAAUUAUUAUAUUGGUGGAUAAAUAUUUUUUUUAUAAACUUGGAAAAAAAAUGGAUUUAGCUAGGCGAUUGUGAUCUUGAACCAAUUUUAUGGUGGAUUAUGAGCUUUUUGAUGGAUUAGUUAGUUGAUUGUGAUCUUGAGGAGAUAGUCAAAGAUAUUCGAUGUAUUACUUAACUUGAACAAUUUGGAUUUUGUUAGGUGAUUGUGAUAUUGAACUAAAUUUCUCUGUGAUUUAUGAGAUUUUAGUUGGAUUUAGUUAGGUGAUUGUGUCUUGAGAAGAUAAUCAAAGAUGUUUGAUGGGUUAUGCGAUUUUAGGUCUAAUAAAUGAGCAUGGUGAUUAUUAUAUUGGUGGAUAAACAAAUAUUUAAUUAGUUUGAAACAAUUUGGAUUUAGUUCGGUGAUGAUGAUGAUCUUUUGACAUAAUUUUACGAUGGAUUAUAAGGUUUUGGUUGGAUUUAGUUAGGUGAUUGUGAUUUUGAUGAGCUAGUAAAAGAUGUUCAGUGGAUUAUGUGAAUUUGGGUCUAGCAAGUGAGCAUAUUGGUGGGUAGAAAUAAGGGCCACACGAGUGACUCAAGGCGAUGAUGCAACUACUGAAAAUAACUGGUAAACAAGGCAAUAGAGGCAGAGAGACUGGGGGUGAUGGCAGCAGAUGGACUUCGAGCUAGCAUCCCACCUGCCAGUGCACUCCGUUCCCCAUUGAUCCGGUUUGGUGUCCUUGUCCUGUUUGCGGAUUUGUGUCACGCACUUGAUUAAGCAUCCCAUGUUCUCCUAAUGUGCGCCCUUGGUCUUGACGAUAGGUAGCGCCGUGUUCUUGGGCGUGUCCUGUGGGUAAAAUUCAGGUAUGCGUCGAUUGUUUGAGCUGUUGCUCGCCAUUGUGCCGCCCAGCAAGGGAACACGGGAUGUGGGAUCAAGACAGCACACAUAGCAACCCGCCACCAGGCAACGGACGCCCAUCCAGACUUACAGGGAGUGGAGAUGGACACAAAUGUGGAUGUUGAGCUCCAUAGUAGUCUCAAGUGUGUGCUCAUCAGUAAGAGCAGCACGAGCAAGAAGGUCCUGGAUAUACUCCUCUUAGGAAAUAAAGAAGCCAUUAAAGCUCGAAGAAACCUCAAUCUUAAGGAAGUAGUGACUUUAGUAAACAUGGAGCAAUUUGGAUUUACUUAGGCGAUUGUGAUCUUGAACAAAUUUCAUGGUGAAUUACGAGUUUCUUCAAUGGAUUUAGUUGAUUGUGAUCUUGAGGAGAUAGUCAAAGAUGUUCUGUAUAUUAAUUAAUCUUGAAUAAUAUGGAUUUAAUUAGGUGAUUGUGUCUUGAGAUGAUAAUCAAAGAUGUUUCGUGGAUUAUGAGAUUUUAGGUCUAGUAGAUGAGCAUGGUGAUUAUUAUAUAGUUAGGUGAAUGUGAUUUUGACGAGCUAGUAAAAGAUGUUCGGUGAACUAUUGUGAAUUUAGGUCUAGUAGGUGAGCAUGUUGAUUAUUAUAUUGGCGGAUAAAUAAAUCUUUAAUAAAUUUCGAACAAUUUGGAUUUAGUUAGACGACUGUGUCCUUGUGAACCAAAUUUCAUGGUGGAUUAUGAGAUUUUUGAUGGAUUAGUUAGUUGAUUCUGAUCUUCAAGAGAUAGUCAAAGAUGUUUGGUGGAUUAAUUAAAAAUCUUGAACAAUUUGGAUUUAGUUAAGUGGUUGCGAUACUGAAUUGAAUUUCACGCUAGAUUAUGAGAUUGUAUGUGGAUUUAGUUAGGUGAUUGUGUCUUGAGAAUAUUGUCAAAGAUGUUUGCUAGUCUAUGAGAUUUUAGGUUUAGUAGAUGAGAAUGGUGAUUAUUAUAUUGGUAGAUAAACAAAUCUUUAAUUAUUUUGGAACAAUUUUGACUCAUUUAGGUGAUUUUUAUUUUUCAACCAAAUUUACGAUUGAUUUUGAGAUUUUUUUGGAGUUAGUUAGGUGACUGAUCUUGACAAGAUAGUCAAAUAUGUUUGGUGAAUUAUGUUAAUUUAGGUCUAGUAAGUGAGCAUUGUGGUAAUUAUAUUGGUGGAUAGAUGGAUCUUCCGUAAAAAUGAAGCAAUUUGGAUGUAGUUAGGCGAUUGUGAACAAAUUUCACGGUCGAUUACAAGAUUUUCAAUAAAUUCGGUUAGUAGAUUGUGAUCUUGGGGGAUGUCAAAGAUGUUCGGUGGAUUAAUUAAAUCUCGAACACUUUUGAUUUAGUUAGGUGAUUGCGAUAUUGAACCAAAUGUUUUGGUGAUUUAUGAUAUCUUAGUUGGAUUUAGUUAGAUGAUUGUGUCUUCAGAAGAUAGUCAAGGAUGUUCGGUGGAUUAUGAGAUUAGGUUUAGUAGAUGAGUAUGACAAUUAUUAUAUUGGUGGAUAAACAAAUAUUUAAUUUAGUUUGGAACAAUUUAGAUUUAGUUAGGUGAUUGUGAUAUUGAACCAAAUUUCUUUGAUUUAUGAGAUUUUAGUUGGGGUGAUUGUGUCUUGAGAAGAUAGUCAAAUAUGUUUGGUGGAUUAUGAGAUUUUGGGUCUAAUAGAUGAGCAUAGUGAUUAUUAUAUUGGUGGAUAAACAGAUAAACUGAUAUUUAAUUUGGUUGCAAUUUGGAUUUAGUUAGGUGAUUGUGAUCCUUUAACUGAAUUUUAUGGUGGAUUGUAAGGUUUUGGUUGGAUUUAUUAGGUGAUUGUGAUUUUGGCGAGCUAGUAAAAGAUUUACGGUGGAUUAUGUGAAUUUAGGUCUAGUACGUGAGCAUGUUGAUUAUUAUAUUGGUGGAUAAAUGAGUCUUUAGAAACAUGGAGCAAUUUGAUUUAGUUAGGCAAUUGUGAUCUAGUACAAAUUUCAUGGUGGAGAUUUGCAAUGGAUUUAGUUGAUUGUGAUCUUGAGGAGAUAGUCAGAGAUGUUCGGUGGAUAAAUUAAUCUUGAACAAUUUGGAUAUAGUUAGGUGAUUGUGAUAUUGAACCAAAUUUCUCUAUGAUUUAUCGGAUUUUAGUUGGAUUUAGUUAGGUAAUUGUGUCUUGAGAUGAUAAUCAAAUGUGUUUGGUGGAUUAUGAGAUUUUAGGUCUAGUGGAUGAGCAUGGUGAUUACUAUAUUGGUGGAUAAACAUAUAUUUAAUUUAGUUUGGAACAAUUUGGAUUUAGUUAGGUGGUUGUGAUCUUUUGACCAAAUUUUACUGUGGAUUACGAGGUUUUGGUUGGAUUUAGUUAGGUGAUUGGAUCUUGAUGAGCUAGUAAAAGAUGUUAGGUGGAUUAUGCGAAUUUAGUCUAGUAGGUGAGCAUGUUGGUUAUUAUAUUGGUGGAUAAAUAUUUAAUUUUGGACAAUUUGCAUUUAGUUAGGUGAUUGUGAUAUUGACCCAAAUUUCUCCGUGAUUUAUGAGAUUUUAGUUGUGUUUAUUUAGGUGAUUGUGUUUUGAGAAGAUAGUCAAAGAUGUCUGGUGGAUUAUGAGAUUUUAGGUCUAAUAGAUGCGCAUGGUGAUUAUUAUAUUGGUGGAUAAAUGAAUCUUUAAUAAAUUUGGAAUAAUUUGGAUUUAGUUAGCCGACUGUGAUCUUGAAUCAAAUUUUAUGGUGGAUUAUGAGAGUUAGUUUGGCGGCACUCCGCUUCUUCCUUGAGGAGCAUGUGCAGUGCAGUGGUGCGGGGGCUCGUGCGGCCUGCGGAGGCCUCAGAAGGUGGGCGGUGACACCUGCAACUUGUGCACAAUGGCGACUCCAUGCAUCUCCUGCGCCCCGCAACCCUCUCCUUCCUGGCAUACUCCAUGCAUCUCCUGCGCCCCGCAACCCUCUCCUUCCUGGCAUAGCAAGAGCAGGAGCAAGGAUGCCGAGGCGGUUCAGUCGCGAGGAAGAGUAGGAAGAUCAGGCAGAGAGGGUUUCACACACCUCUUCUACACUGACAAGUCUUUGCUUUUCAGGAUUGCCAUGGCUCACUGAUGGACUUGAAGUAUGCCUGAUCUUGGACUGCAUUUAUUGCCUGUCGUAGGGAGCUUUGGAUGGUGGUCUUGAUCUUCCGCACAGUGACAAGAGAUUUGCUGGCUUCAAGAAGGAUAAGAAGCAGCUGGGCGCUGAGAUUCACCUCAAAUACAUCUAUGAAGGUCAUGUUGCUGACUGCAUGAAGUCAAUAGCUGAUGAGGAACCUAAGAAGUACCAAUCUCGCUUCAGUGAGUACAUCAAGAACUGAAGAUCAAGGGUUACAGAUGCCACAAGGCUUGCCUAACAAAGGUUCCCAGAAAAAGGAAUGGUUUGACCAAAAAAGGCUUUGCUCUCCAAGUGCAUAACACUUUCCCACUCCCCAUCGAUGACGAUCUUCCUGUAUGAGCAUUUUCAUCUGUGCUCCCUAUUUUCCUUGCUCCACUAAGAAUGAAGCCAUUAACUGUUGACUGUAAUUGCGAGGUAGCUCUUUUAGUACCACAGAAGUUAUUCCGAAAGGUCAUUAAGCUUAUUCCAAUGCCAACUUCUGUAAAGGUGCUUGUCCUGGUUAUUACAGUAUGUUCCUUUUGACAAAUCAACAGAAGUGUACAAAUUCAUUUAAAUGGGUUCGCAAGGUAUUUUCAUUAGCAAUGCCACAAGGCAUCAGAAAGCACAAGUAGCGAGAACAAUUAGUUCUGUUUUAAUAUCAUAGUUCUACAAAUCCUAAAUCGUGUUAAAUUAAUCUGCUAGAGUAUGGUGAUAACAGAGGGGCACUGUUUUUGAAAAUUGUUUUUUCUGUUUCAAUUGUAUAGGGCCCUCCACAAGGAUAUUGAUUUCAUCAGGUGUAGAUGUUUAGUUGAACAGAUAUUGUUUGUCAGUUUCUUAGUGCGUGCCUAGCUGUUUCCCCUUUUUACAUUGCUUCUUUUCUGUAGGAUUUCUUGAAACAUAAUAACUUGCUUCCACAAUUGUAGAAUGAUCAUGGUUUCUUUGCAGUCCUGUACUUUCAUACGAUUAACAAUUUCAUGGCUAUCCUAGGUAACAAACAGACAUCAUUGGCAUUAGCCAAUGCAUUUGCGUUAAAUGCCCUGCUGGCCGAGUGCAACUUCGUUCUUCUUUAGUGGGUAUUUGUAUUUUCCAAAAAGAAGUUGGUGCACCUCAUAGUUGUUUUGUAGCCUGACUAUUAUGCCUAGGUUUUGCUCUAUAAUACAGAACUAAGUAGUUCACUAUGUCAGUUGGCUAUCUGUGUCGCUUCAUAGUUAUGGAAAAACAGGGUAGAGCUCUAAUGACUACUCUCCUCGAUCAAUCUAUGAGAGCCAAGAUUAUAUUUUAAGUAGAUUCCAUAUCUUUGAACAACAGAUUCUGAUUCUAUUACAGAGAUGUUUUAAUUCAUUUUUUAUUAGUUGCGCUACUACAUUUAACUAAUGAUUUGAGCUGCCUUAGUCCCAGAUAGUGACUAUCUAAAUUAUUGACAUCCACUCAAAUAAAUAUACAAGAGUUGUAUGAAAGGGAACCUGUUAUGGCGCUGCUAGAAGGAGGGCGCGAGAGGGCCGGCCGGGGGCCUUUUUGCCCACGGCCGGACAAGAGGGAAGGGAUUUCCUUCUUAAUUCUUGCUUGAUUAGAUUGAUACAUCUCCUUUCUUUAUAUAGAGAGGUUUACUUGACUUCCAAGCAAGGCUUACUUGACCCCUAAGCAAGCGACCCUUAUCUCUAAUUAACCCUAAGACUAACGGGCCCAUUAGGCCCAUUAUGUACUCUAACACUACACCCCACCUGGACAUGCAGCUUGUCCUCGAGCUGCAGCCUAACCAACUUAUAACCAUGACUCGACGCAACACAAACCUAACACCUAAAAAUAAACCCAUUAUUAUCAACCUGAAUAGACUGGGACGCUUUAUUUUGGACCCCUUAACAAAAAGUGGACACCAUCCGCACGUCGGACGUGCACGUGUACAGCCACCCGGAUCCCAUGGACACCACCUGAACAAAAGGAGUGCAUGUGUAUGGUCACCUGGAAGUGCUCGCAAGAGUGACCAGCAGAGGCACCCUCGCGGCGGCCGGUGGCGGAUUGCAGUGGUGCUACGCGGUGCGUUCUUGUCAGUGACACCCUGCCUUCUCCCCGCCGGACGGCUGUUGGUCUGCACCGCACAGAGAAGAGCGGAGGCCUUGCGAUGGAGAAUGACGAGGAGGGGUGUGCCCCCCCCAACCGCCGAUGUCGAAGAUUUUGAGGUCGCUGCCCGCAGGGAAAACAGCAUGCCCGAGAUCCCCGAUGCAGCGGACGAGAGUGAGGUCCUUUGCGCAGCGAAGGGCAACUUGGAGGAGCGGCAGCUGCAGACCACGCAUCUCCCGCACACGCCGACGCGCUAGGAAGCUGCGCGCAGCAGCCUGCAGCCUCACCGCCGCCGACACGUGGUGGGUAGCGAUCCAAGACGGAAGCGGUGACGGCGACGGCGGGGACUUGAUCUGCUGGAUGUGGACGCCCUGGGAUGGCGGCGGCGCUGAUGGGAACGAGGUCGUCGCAGUCCCGUCGUAGGGCAUCCCAUACUGGGCGACGAAGCUGACCGGCGGUGGCUGCUGCAGCUGCAGCGGCUGCUGCGGUGUCGCGCCGGGCAGCAACAGCGGCUGCUGCGGUGGAGCGCUGGGCGCGGCGGAGGCCGCCAGGAGCGGCGGCUGCCACUGCAGCCAGGGCUGGGCGAUGGUGGCGAUGGAUGGCAGCUGCAGCGGCCCAGCGAGUGCGGCAAACGCCGCCUGGUGCGGCGGCUGCCACGGCAGCCACGGCGGCGCGGGGGCGGCGAUGGGUGGCGCAGCCGGGUGCGGCCCGUAGGACCCGGCCAAUAACAGGUGGAUCUCCUGGACCGCCUGGGUUAGGUCCUGCAGCACCCCGAGCACCUCCUCCGGGGUGAGGACGGCGGGGGCGGGCGUGACGGAGGAUCCCAGCGCGGGCAGGAGCGUGGCGACGGUCGUGGUGGUCGCCGGAGGCGACGAGGUGACCGGUAGCGGAAGAGACGGGCUUGGCGGCGGUGAAGACAUGAUCAAACCGAAGCUAGCUGAUACCAAAUUGUUAUGGCGCUGCUAGAAGGAGGGUGCGAGAGGGCCGGCCGGGGGCCUUUUUGCCCAUGGCCGGACAAGAGGGAAGGGAUUUCCUUCUUAAUUCUUGCUUGAUUAGAUUGAUACAUCUCCUCUCUUUAUAUAGAGAGGUUUACUUGACUUCCAAGCAAGGCUUACUUGACCCCUAAGCAAGCGACCCUUAUCUCUAAUUAACCCUAAGACUAACGGGCCCAUUAGGCCCAUUAUGUACUCUAACAGAACCACUCACCUUUUUAACAGGAAAUAUGUUAUAGCGUCAUAACAAUGUUCAGGUCGCACAUGCAUACCAGAACACUGAGGGGUGGUCUUACAAAUGACAACUACUUUCAUGUUAGUAAUUUCUUCUGUUUGACAUAUUCCAUGACCCUUGCUAGCUCCAGUCAUUCAAUUUAUCAUUAUAUCCACCAUAUUUUUAUGCUCGACAUUCCUAAUCUGCCGGUCACAAGAAACUGUAGUAUAAUGUCAGGUCGCACAUUCUUUUUGUUUCAUGGUUCAGUACAGGUCUCAUGGUGAGCAGCAGCACUAGGUUGCAGUAUAAUGUCAGUUGAUUGCAACAUCCCGAGUUAUUUUAUCGAUGUUUUUCAUCUAGAAGCUUGAAUCUCUUUCAACUUUCAGUACACAUAUAUUCUGAUUUGUGCAUAAGGAAACUCACAAGUUUGUGUCCAUCUUUUUGGUAGUAAUCAUAUGGCUUGCAUAUUUUAUCAGACUGAUCAGUCACAAAGAUCGGUCUGAUCAUAUUUGGUACAGAAGAUCAAAAGAAGCAUUUAUAUCAUCUUUUUGUGUGCUUUUUCUGUAGAAAAGGUACCAUGGGUUGAUGGUGUUGGAUCCAAUCACUAUAUGAUGUAAAUUGACUGCUAUUCCUAAGAACUGCUCCUGGACACAGUGCUGUAUGUUAUCAUGUCUUACAUUCUAUUGUGUUGCCUAUCUUUAUAGUUACUCGGAUCUUACAUUUCAGAUUUUGUAUUUUUGUCGGUGCAAGUGUUGCCUUCCUACUGUCAAACAACAUGGAAUUUUUUAAAUUAAAUUGUACAUAUUGUCGAAAAAUAUCCAGUGCAUGUCUAUAUUCAUGCCUGCUAUAAAACAAACAUUCUUCAUUGCCUAUGCCUUUUCCUUCUGUUAAAGAUGAUAAUGCAGCUCUCCAUCUUAUUAAUUCCUUCUUCAUUCACUUGAAAUAUUGCCUAAUUUUUUGUGUGUGUAUUUGGUUUAGCAGUGUGACUUAUGGUCAAACUGAAGGUGCUUAGCAUGGUCUGGUUUCUUUAUGGUCUACUUUACAAGAGAAAACAUUUCUCUGGAAGGAGCUGCUGACAAGGCUUAACAACAAACUGGACGGAGUUCUUCACAUGGCAAACAUAGAUGAAGGAACGUUGUAUGCCUUCACCUUCAGACCCAAGGCAAAGUGCCUCCGCCUCUGUCGAACUGCUCACUCCCUAUGAGGACACCAUCGUAAACCUUCGGUGUCACCUAUAUAUAGCUUGUGUACCAGACUUCAUGUUUAUAAUGCUCUUAGGCCUUGUACAAUGCAAGGUGCUUAGGGGAGCUGCUUAGAGAAAUAAAUCAGGCUUUCCUUAAGCACCGGUGCUUAUUUGUACAGGAUAGACGCUUAACUAAGCGUCUCUCCCGUAGAAAUAGCACCGGUGCUUCAGGAAAACUUGGUUCAUUUUUCUAAGCAUCUCCUAUUGUACAAGGCCUUAUACCAAAAAAAACAAAAUUCCCACCA